UACGAAGGGGACUAGCGUUGUUCGGAAUCACUGGGCGUAAAGCGCACGUAGGCGGAUUUGUAAGUCAGGGGUGAAAUCCCAGAGCUCAACUCUGGAACUGCCUUUGAUACUGGGUAUCUUGAGUAUGGAAGAGGUAAGUGGAAUUGCGAGUGUAGAGGUGAAAUUCGUAGAUAUUCGCAGGAACACCAGUGGCGAAGGCGGCUUACUGGUCCAUAACUGACGCUGAGGUGGCGAAA
rnacentral:rRNA from 1 species